AUGCAAUAGGACCAGAGUGAGAAAGCAAGUAUGAUGCAGCAGGCCUGGCAAAGCACAGCUGUGACAAAAGGAAAAAGUACUCCGGGGCUGGCAGCAGGUCUGAUAUCAGGGAUUUCAGGGGCGCAGAGAUGUAGAAAGCCAGAAUAAUUUGGAGAAAACCAAUAUCCAGCUGUCGCUCAGAGGUUGGAUGGGCUGUGUCUUGAUGUGUGCGAUAGCGUGUCUUGACUUUGGAGCAGCCGGGGUCUUGUUGAAGCAAGAGAACCUGAUCGGAGAGGAUUUGCAGUCAGAUUUUCAGCUUCACUGAGGACACUUGAUUUCAAAUGCUGCCUUUCUGCUCGGAGAACAGAAAUGUUUUCUGGACAGACCCUGGGGCUAGGAACACCAAUGUCAACCUGGAGUCAUGCCUCAGUGCGGUCCACGGAAUUUCUUUGCAUUUACACCAGCACUGUAGAUGAGCUUCUGGCUCACAAAAGCAAUCAAAGCUAAUCGAUAUGGCUGGAAUUUGAAAUUUCAGAUGGUUCUGUUGAAUGGUUCAUGAGCAAUCUACAAGCUCGGAGUUAUUUGCGGAAAGUAUCCAGCAGUUAAUUUCAAAUCCUAUAUACAUUUGAGAUGUUCAUAAGCUACUUGCAGACA